GUGUAGCCUUGGCUGUCCUGGAACUCUUUCUCUCUAGACCAGGCUCUCCUCAGACUAAAAAUUGACUGAGUGCUGGGAUUAAAGGUGUGCACCACCAUUUCUGGCAUCUUCUUGGUGUCUUUAGUCUGUAGUUAAUUAUGAUUGCAACCAUUUGAAAUAGAUCCUAUUAUUUUCCCUGUUUCUUAGACAGAAAAAAACCAUCUAACCCCAGUGUGGUUAGAUGGCUUUUCCCAGGCCACACAAGGAGAGAGCUGUGUUUCAGAUCAGACAGCAUUGUUCCAGGGUCUGUGCCUUCAACCGUCACAUGCUCCUUCUGUUGUAUGACAAAUGGAUAUUGGUAGGAACAAGUAAUCCAAGUAUAUGCCUCAUGUUGUAUUCUAGUAAGACUGACUGACCUGUGUUGCACAAUAAAUAAAAGAACCAGAGACAGAUAUUGGGGUUCAACCUGAAGAUCAGAGAAGCAAAGCAGCCAGGCUACCAGAGAGCUCUUGCCUCUGAAAAAGGCUGGGACAUUCCUAUUCUCAACACGGCUGGAGAAUGAAUGUUCCUAACUUCAGUGUGGCUGGAGAAUGCAUUCCUCCUAUCCUCAAUGUGGCUGGAGAAUGAGUGCCUGAUACUCAGACCUUGCUUUCUAAUGCUGGGAUUAAAGGUGUGUGAUCCCAGGUGCUGAGAUCAUCUUUGUGUGAGCUGUUUCUCUUUAGGACUGGAUAAAUCUUGUGUAGAUCUGAGUGGCCUUGUACUCACACAGAUCCAUCUACCUCUUAAUCCUGAGUCCUAGGAUUAAAGGUGUGUGCCCCUACCUCUUAGCUUCUGGCUUCUGGGAGUAAAAGUGUAUGUAUGGCUUUUAUGGCUUGUGGCUGACUUUGAUUUCUGAAUCUUCAGGCAAGCUUUAAUAAAUCAUAAAUAAUAUAUCACUACAUACUUGAGUCCAUUAUUCUGUGAAAUUUUUUAUUCACAGACUUUGCACUAAUUUUUAGAUGAUUCCGAAGAAUGGGGGCUCUGUUCCUAAAGGACUCUCCUCUCUGCGGCUGACACAUAACUGGUUCAAAUAAUUUUGAGAAGUACCAGACAUAACAACUACUUGGAUAUGCUGGUCACCUAUGAGAUGAUAAGGAAUCACUUGGAUAUGUUGGUCACCUAAGAGAUGAGCUAGAAUGACUUGGAUAUGUUGGUGUGGUGGUGAUUUUGUUGCUGUGGUAACCAAUUCCCUUGCCAUUCCUCUCUACCACUGCAUUAUAGUUUCUACAGGAUAAUGUGAGUUUACAUACAAACAUACAUGUGUUUAUAAAGCCUGGUUGGGUUGGAAGAAGACUCUAAAGUAUGGUCUCUUUGAAGAUGUAUUACAUUCACUCUUAUUAAACAUGCCUGCUUAGGCUUGUUAUUGUCAGUGCUUUGCUUAGAGUUUCAAUUUUCUUUGUUUGAAAUACUAUGU
rnacentral:lncRNA from 1 species